rnacentral:rRNA from 1 species
AAAAGUGGAUUAGCGGCGGACGGGUGAGUAACACGUGAGUAACCUGCCUUAGACAUUGGGAUAGCCUCGGGAAACCGGGAUUAAUACCAAAUAAAAUCACAAUGACACAUGUCAUAACGAUCAAAACUCCGGUGGUCUAAGAUGGACUCGCGUCCCAUUAGCUAGUUGGUAGAGUAAAAGCCUACCGAGGCGACGAUGGGUAGCCGGCCUGAGAGGGUGAACGGCCACAUUGGAACUGAGAAACGGUCCAA